GUGACAGUCGACGGCAAGCUCGAGAUGGAGACGCUGCUCAAGGCGUCGGCCUACAUCCUCGGCGCCACGAGUUCGAGCAUCGUGUACAAGGUCAUGCUCGCCGAUGGCACCGCGCUAGCGGUCCGGCGCAUCGGCGAGAGCGGUGGCACCGAAAAGCUCAAGGACUUCGAGGCGCAGGUGUGCGCCGUUGCCCGGUUCUGCCACCCCAACAUCCUCCGGCUGCGCGGCUUCUACUGGGGCGCCGACGAGAAGCUUCUCAUCCAUGACUACGCCCCCAAUGGCAGCAUUGCCAACAUCGCAUUCAGCAGUAAGCCAUUCGUCGCCCACCUCGGCCACACACUGCUUUACCACAUUCAGCACUAACUUUCAUUCAGCACUAACUUUCAUUCAGAUACUAAAAUUGCAUCGAAAAGUUGCUUGAUUUGACAUCGACAUCUUAACAGAAUUAGUUAUGCACCUCGAACUUUAUAAUCAUUUGCGAAGUUGGAGUCUUUGGCUUCAACCUUCAACGGCCUGAUGAGUCCUAUGAAAAGAUGGCACUUUACUGAUUGUACAUGCUGCAGCUUAAAUGUGCAUUAGUAGUACUGAUUCAUUUGAUCUCUCUUAAUCGUACAGGUCAUAUGUACUGAUAGUGCAAAAAGAUACUGAAAGAAGCUGUCAUUGGCAGAUUCAGUAGUUGCAAAUCGUAAUGCUCGCUCUGUCCAGAAAAACGGAAUUCUAACAGAGUGUUAUGUUUUAGUAUCUUAUACUUCUUCCCUCCUAAUUUAAAAUUCAUUUUAUACUUUCACUAGAUUCAUACAAUAAUUUUGAUGCACAUGUUUUGUAUAUGUGUCUAUAUUCAUCACCAUUCAUUUAAAUAUAGACACAUGUGGAAUAAUGGGUCACCAAUGCACAAGUUUGCUGGUUGACGUCCUGUCCAAAUCUACAGCAUGGACUCCUUCCAGACCGCCAACAACCUCGUCCGCACCCAGGCAUCAGCAAGACAACACAACAGUUGAAUGGAAUCUAUGCACUCUUUGCAGUAUUGAGGCUUGCUGUUGUUGAUACAAAAGCAGAUGGUGCCAUUCUGAAGGAGAAACUGUGGACAUUGAUUGCUCAAAAUGAACCCUCGUUAAUCUCUUUAUAGUUGGUAAUUCUGUUGUUCUGAAUUUUCCACUAAGAAUACUUUGUUAUCCCACAAAAAUAACACGAAAGUGCAUGUAUGGAUGUACUUCAGCAUCUCAGCACCUUUUUAUUUAUUAUUUAGAGAUCCUGAUGAGCUACUUAUGGAAUAUACAUUUAUGUAAAUUGUGUUUGGAGAAAUAAUUCUUAGUGGUUACAAGAACUCUAAAGGGUGUAGUGUAAUCAUUCGUAUUAAAUCUUAUAACUUUUAAGAUCUUUGAUGAUACCUCAAAACUAAAUCUCUUUGUAUUAAUGCUUUUGUAACACUGUUUUCUCCCGACAACUUCUCAAACUAGCAGAUGACGAUUGCUUAGCCAUGCUGGAUCUUCUUCAAUCACUGCUUAUAGAUCAUUACUUUAGGUCUAGCUCAAGCAUAUGAAUUGGAUUUUGUGUGUCAGACCGGCACCUUUCUUUUUUGCUCUCAACUUAUUUUUUUCUCGAAAAUGCGCAGGAGAACUGCGCCUCAUUAUAUUAAUAAGAAAAAGAAACCAAGGUCUAAAGGAAGACCUAAUACAAAAGACCCCUUACGAGGCCAGAAACAUGCAUAUAGGAAGAAAUCCAUCUAGGAAAACAAAGAAAAAAACCCACACACUGCCAGGGAAGUCCCUAUGGCUCAGCUAAGGGGGCUGCCAGGUAAGAAAUGCCUUUUGCCCCCGCUAUUUCCCAUCGAUGCAUCUCCUCAAGCAGGUAUUUCUUAUUCUAAAUUGUUGAGUUGGAGAAUAUUUUCCAAUCCAGUCAUUGCUGCAGUUACAUAUAUUUGGCUUGAAUGCUCUAAAUUGUUGACCUUGUUUUUCUUAUUCUAAAUUCUUUUAAAAUAUUGAUGCACACAGUUAGCUUCUUACUACUGAAGAAAUACUUAUAUGUCUAUACUCUAUAGCAUGUAUUGAUUCAUUGUCCUUUUGUACAACUGCUAAUAUAUCUACUUUGCCAUCCAAGCUCGGAGGUGAGAAGGUAGUUUAUGAUGCUACCAAGAAAAUCUUCUCAAGCUCCAGUGGUCCAGCCGAAGAUAUUCUAUUCUUAUUCACAGAUUGGUUGUCACUACUGGGAGAGAUUGUCAAUAUUGAAACAAUGGUACACACCUAAUUCUUUGUAUUCCUCUUGCAAUCAUCUACUUUCCUCUGGAUUUGCUUGGGACUCAUGUUGGGUACUUGUGUUUUAACUAUAGCCUACCACAACUUGCUUGAGACUAAAUUGCUUCGUUGUUGCUCAGUUGCUGUUGAAUCCUCUGCUACUCUAAGCUUCUUUGAUGUUGGGUGUAAUGUUGUAACUGGCUAUCGUUGUUGGCCGAACAUUUGGCUAGCGUGGAUGAUAUAUAUUGCAAUGUGAAUCCAAUAAGCAGGAGAGUGAUCAAUGUAUGUAAUCGUUGUACACUAACAUUUGUCGAAUAUUUUGUAUAUCGUUUCAAGGCA